CAGUUGGUUAGAGCGCGCGCUUGAUAAGCGUGAGGUCGGAGGUUCAAGUCCUCCCAGGCCCACCACUUCGCAAUCCGCAAGGAUUGUCGUUUGUUCCUCGACAAAAGGUAUCAGGGGCCGUAGCUCAGCUGGGAGAGCGCCUGCUUUGCAAGCAGGAUGUCGUCGGUUCGAUCCCGUCCGGCUCCACCAUCUUUCUUCUCUUGAGAGGAAAGGGUGUCGAGUAGAGAUGAGCGCCGAUCGGUCAGUCAUUCGUAUAAAGGUUUGCGGCGAGCAUCUAGCUCUCCGCCUGUUCUGUAUGACAUCGUAAAGAGAAGAUUUGUUCGAACUUCAUGAUCCGCAAGGUUCAUGAUUUGUCGCGGGAGACGCUCAAUCUCCCGCAUAUGAUGGGUUUGCCUAACCGCGCCCUCGAACCGAUCUCGAGAAGCUGGUCUUUUUGUGCCAAUUCCAUUGAAACCAGGUUCUGCACAGGAUCUGGUUCGGGCGACAAUCCUUCGGGAUUGCGCGAUGGGCAUUGGCAAUGAGAACGAUCAAGUGUCUUAAGGGCAAUUGGUGGAUGCCUUGGCAUGCACAGGCGAUGAAGGACGUGAUACGCUGCGAUAAGCUACGU
rnacentral:tRNA from 1 species